rnacentral:rRNA from 1 species
GAUGAACGCUGGCGGCGUGCCUAAUACAUGCAAGUCGAGCGAACAGAUGAGGAGCUUGCUCCUCUGACGUUAGCGGCGGACGGGUGAGUAACACGUGGAUAACCUACCUAUAAGACUGGGAUAACUUCGGGAAACCGGAGCUAAUACCGGAUAAUAUAUUGAACCGCAUGGUUCAAUAGUGAAAGACGGUUUUGCUGUCACUUAUAGAUGGAUCCGCGCCGCAUUAGCUAGUUGGUAAGGUAACGGCUUACCAAGGCAACGAUGCGUAGCCGACCUGAGAGGGUGAUCGGCCACACUGGAACUGAGACACGGUCCAGACUCCUACGGGAGGCAGCAAUAGGGAAUCUUCCGCAAUGGGCGAAAGCCUGACGGAGCAACGCCGCGUGAGUGAUGAAGGUCUUCGGAUCGUAAAACUCUGUUAUUAGGGAAGAACAAAUGUGUAAGUAACUAUGCACGUCUUGGCGGUACCUAAUCAGAAAGCCACGGCUAACUACGUG